rnacentral:rRNA from 1 species
CCUGGUGAGUAAAGUGGCGUACGGGUGAGUAACACGUGGAUCAUCUACCCUGGAGUGGGGAAUAACGCUGGGAAACCGGCGCUAAUACCGCAUAAUCCCGAGAGGGCAAAGGAGCAAUUCGCUUCAGGAGGAGUCCGCGGCCGAUUAGCUAGUUGGCAGGGUAAAAGCCUACCAAGGCAACGAUCGGUAGCCGGCCUGAGAGGGCACACGGCCACACUGGCACUGAAACACGGGCCAG